UUCGUCAGUCCCAUUGUACCCCACGGCGGGAAACCGAUAUUUUGGCGAAAACCCUCCCUCCAAAAACCGAUCCUUAUCGUCCUUCAGCGCUUUUAAAUCCCUAAUUCACCCUCCUUUUCAAGCUUUGGUCCAUUCCACUGUUCUGCGUCUGAGAGAGAGAGAGCAGAGAGAGAGUAGAGAGAGAGAGAGAGAGAGCAAAAGUAAAAGCCAAGCACUCGUGCUUUUGCUCUCUCCUCCUCGCCUCCUUAGCCCCAAAAAAUAUCCAUGGCAUUGGCUCUGAAGCACCGCGAAGACGACACCGCCAUCGACGUUCACACGGCCGGCGGCACUCCCAUCAGGUAUCUCCCCCUCGACCACGUAUACUCUGCCACGUCACCCUGCUGCGUCAGCGUGAGCGUGAGCGCCAGCGGCUCCUCCAACGUGAUGUCGAAGAAAGUGAAAGCCCGGAAGCUCGUCGUCGAUGAUUUCGACAACGAUCUCAAUAACAAACCAUCCCCUGCCCUCCAUAGACCCCCUCUCAUCCACGUCUACUCUCGCCGCCCAAAGAGAUUCCGCCGUUCCUCCUUGUACGAUUCUUUAAUCUCUCGCGACGAGGAAACUUGUGGGUUUGAUGAGGGCGAGGACUCGAAGAUAGGGGGGAGAUUGUUGAACAAAAAGAAGAAGAAGAAGAGGAGAUUUGGGAGCAGUGAGCUGGUGAAGUUGGGGGUGGACUCCAGCGUCUUGCGCAGCCUGGAUAGGCCGCGAUUGAGGGAUUCCCGAAUUCACAAUAACAGUAAUGUUAGUAAUAGUAAUUUGCGGAAAAGGAGGCGAAAUUCUUCGCAGAAUUGCGACAACGUUUUGCCCGAUUCACCUUCCACUAUGAGAUGGGUCAGGUUGAGUUUCGACAGCGUUGAUCCAAAAACAUUUAUUGGAUUACAAUGCAAGGUUUAUUGGCCAUUGGAUGCUGAUUGGUAUUCUGGUCGAGUUGUGGGUUACAAUCCUGAGGCUAAUCGACAUAAUGUAGAAUAUGAAGAUGGCGAUAAAGAAGAUUUGAUUCUUUUGAACGAAAAAGUUAAAUUCUAUAUUUCUCAUGAAGAGAUGCAGCGUUUGAACUUGAGCUGCAGUGUUAAAAGUAUGGAUGGCGAUGUCUACGAUUACAAUGAGAUGGUUGUGUUGGCUGCGAGUUUAGAUGAUUGCCAAGAGCUUGAGCCUGGAGAUAUCAUAUGGGCCAAGCUUACUGGUCAUGCUAUGUGGCCGGCAAUUGUUGUGGAUGAAUCACUCAUAGGUGAUCAUAAAGGUUUAAGCAAAAUUUCAAAAGGAAGAUCAGUUCCUGUGCAAUUUUUUGGUACACAUGAUUUUGCAAGGAUUAAAGUCAAACGGGUUAUCUCAUUUCUCAAGGGGCUUCUUUCUUCUUUCCACCUGAAGUGCAAGAAACCUCGCUUCAUUCGAAGCUUGGAAGAAGCGAAAACGUAUUUGAGUGAACAAAAGCUUCCUAGAAGAAUGCUUCAGCUGCAAAAUGGAAUUACUGCUGAUAAUGCAAGUGCAAGUGAAUCUGAUGGAGGGAGUACAGAUACAGGUGAAGAUUGCAUAGAAGAUGUAGGGAUUCAGGGAGUGCUAGAGGGCCUUGGAACUUCUCCCUAUGUAAUUGGGGAUUUGAAAAUUAUGAGCCUUGGAAAGAUCGUCAAGGACUCGGAGUAUUUCCGGGAUGAGAGAUUCAUUUGGCCUGAAGGAUAUACUGCUGUGAGGCAGUUUACUUCAAUAACUGAUCACAAUAUGUGCGCAUUAUAUAAGAUGGAAGUGUUGAGAGAUGCUGAAUCAAAGAUUCGACCUCUAUUUAGAGUGACGCUAGAUAAUGGAGAGCAGUUUAAAGGAUCCACUCCAUCUGACUGCUGGGAUAAAAUAUACAAAAGGAUCAGAAAAAUACAAACAAGUAGCUCUGAUUGUUCAGGUGCUGAAGGUGGAGAAAGGAUCUAUAAAUCUGGUUCCGAUAUGUUUGGCUUCUCCAAUCCUGAAGUUGUGAAGCUUAUACAGGGGUUAUCUAAAUCUAGACAGACUUCAAAAUUUUCUACGAGCAAGUUAGCCUCUAGAAGAUAUCAAGACCCUCCUGUUGGGUACAGACCUGUUCGUGUUGACUGGAAAGACCUUGACAAGUGCAGUGUUUGCCACAUGGAUGAGGAGUAUGAAACCAAUCUGUUCCUGCAAUGCGAUAAAUGCAGAAUGAUGGUCCAUGCUAGAUGCUACGGAGAAUUAGAACCUGUUGAUGGAGUGCUAUGGUUAUGCAACUUAUGUCGACCAGGGGCUCCCAACCCUCCGCCACCUUGCUGCCUUUGUCCUGUUAUAGGGGGUGCAAUGAAGCCUACAACUGAUGGGCGUUGGGCUCAUCUGUCAUGUGCCAUAUGGAUACCUGAAACUUGCUUAUCUGAUGUCAAAAGAAUGGAGCCUAUUGAUGGGCUAACUAGAAUCAAUAAGGACCGCUGGAAGCUGUUAUGUAGCAUCUGUGGUGUAUCUUAUGGAGCUUGCAUUCAAUGCUCAAACAAUACUUGUUAUGCAGCAUACCAUCCACUUUGUGCACGUGCUGCUGGUUUGUGUGUCGAGCUUGAAGAUGAGGACAGACUAUUUCUGCUUGCUGUAGAUGAUGAUGAAGAAGAUCAGUGCAUCCGUCUACUUUCCUUCUGCAAGAGGCAUAGGCAGCCUUCUAAUGAUCGUUCAGCUGCUGAUGAACGUCUGGGGCGAGUUGCUCGCCAGUGUUCGGACUAUACCCCACCAUCUAAUCCAUCUGGCUGUGCUCGCAGUGAGCCUUACAAUUACUUUGGUAGAAGAGGACGGAAAGAGCCUGAAGCCUUGGCUGCUGCUUCCUUGAAGCGCUUGUUUGUACAGAAUCAGCCUUACUUAGUCAGUGGUUACAGCCAACACACAUUUUCAGGCAACUUGAUGCCUUCAUAUGGAGUCAUUGGCUCGAGGUUCUCUUCUACCCUUCAGAGGCUGAAAAGCUCUCAGCUUGAUGCUCCUAACAAUAUACUUUCUAUGGCUGAGAAAUAUAGAUACAUGAGGGAGACAUUCCGAAAGAGAUUAGCAUUUGGGAAAUCAGGAAUCCAUGGAUUUGGCAUCUUCGCAAAGCAUCCGCAUAGAGCAGGAGACAUGGUGAUUGAGUACACUGGUGAACUUGUUAGACCUCCAAUAGCUGACAGGAGAGAGCGCUUUAUAUACAAUUCAUUGGUGGGUGCUGGCACUUAUAUGUUUCGGAUUGAUGAUGAACGAGUCAUUGAUGCUACAAGGGCUGGAAGCAUUGCUCAUCUGAUUAACCACUCUUGUGAACCAAAUUGCUAUUCAAGAGUUAUAAGUGUCAACGGUGAUGAGCAUAUAAUUAUAUUUGCAAAGAGAGACAUUAAGAGAUGGGAGGAACUCACAUACGAUUAUAGAUUUUUUUCAAUUGAUGAACAGCUAGCAUGUUAUUGUGGCUUCCCAAGAUGCCGAGGUGUAGUUAAUGACAUUGAAUCAGAAGAGCGAGCAGCAAAGCUAUAUGCACCUCGCAGUGAAUUAAUAGAUUGGAGAGGAGAAUGAGAGAGGAAUUUCAAUCAAGACUAUGUCAUACCUAUUUGUGGUUUGGUAGAUUUUUUGCAAUUGAUGAGCAUGUUAUUGUGGCUUCCCAAGAUGCCGAGGUGUAGUUAAUGACAUUGAAUCAGAAGAGCGAGCAGCAAAGCUAUAUGAACCUCGCACUGAAUUAAUAGAUUGGAGAGGAGAAUGAGAGAGAAGUUUCUCAUUAUAAAAAUAGGCUCAUCUGAGAUCCUUCUGAAGACAGAUCGUUUCCUCCCAACAAUCUGCUCAUCAUCUGUAAUUUGAUCAAUGCAGAUAGGGUUGUAGUGCUCUGAUCUUUUUUGGUCUGAACUAACUUGAGAAUGGUGUCAGAAAAAAUUCUAACAAAAUUUUAAUUUCCAUGAUUCAAGAAGUACUUUGGUUUAUCUUAAACUUCUACCAUAGGCAUACAUUUGUUUAUGCCAAUGGCAUAACUUUUGUAAAAAUGCAAUUAUAAUGUUAUAAAAUAAUUAUUGAUCAUUGAAGCUUUCAGUGACC